rnacentral:tRNA from 1 species
UGCAGAUAUGGCUCAGUGGUAGAGCAUUUGCCUAGCAUGUACAAAGCUCUAGGUUCAAUCACUGGGGGUAA